AGGGGAAACAAUAUGCAAUUUAUUUGGCGUUGAUUGUACCUUCCAGAGUAAGCCCCGGCUAACUACGUGCCAGCAGCCGCGGUAAUACGUAGGGGGCUAGAGUUGUCCGAAUUUACUGGGUGUAAAGGGUGCUCAGGCGAAUUUGUAAGUCAGAGGUGAAAUCCCAAAGCUUAACUUUGGAGCUGCCUUUGAUACUGCAAGUCUUGAGUGUGAGAGAGGGUAAUGGAAUAUCUGGUGUAGCAGUGAAAUGCGUAGAUAUCAGAUAGAACACCAAUGGCGAAGGCAGUUACCUGGCUCAAUACUGACGCUAAAGCACGAAAGUGUGGGGAGCAAACAGGAUUAGAUACCCUGGUAGUCUACACCCUAAACGAUGCAUACUAGAUGUUGGUCCUUUUCAGGGUCAGUAUCCAAGCUUACGCAUUAAGUAUUCCACCUGGGAAGUACAAUCGCAAGGUUGACACUCAAAGGAAUUGACGGGGGCCCGCACAAGCAGUGGAGCAUGUGGUUUAAUUCGACGCAACGCGAAGAACCUUACCUAGGCUUGAAGCGCAAGUUAAUCCUGAUGAAAGUUCGGGGUGCCGCAAGGCGCACUUGUACAGGUGCUGCAUGGCUGUCGUCAGCUC
rnacentral:rRNA from 1 species